AUGGCUCCGCAUUACCAGGCCGCUACGCUGAUUGCUGCUCCGUCCUAUCCGAACUCCAUUACCUGGUCAAGCGAGAACUUGGUGGCUGUUUCUGGUCACAUUGUCACUAUCCUGAACCCAGCCGCAAUUGAAGGGCCUCGUGGAUUUGUCUUGCUUCGCCCUAGAGAUCCUUUUCCCAUUGGAGUGGUUAAAAGAGAAGAUCUCCUUGAACCAUGUUUAGUCCCCACUUUCUUAGUGUGUGAUACUGAACCAUGCGCACGGUCAAUUUCAUGGUCUCGACAAGGCUUUGCACCUAAUUCUGGUUGUUUGCUUGCCGUUUGUACUGUUGAUGGUCAUGUAAAUCUUUACCGCCCACCAAUUUGGGAAUUCUGUGAUGAAUGGGUUGAGGUCUCGGAUGUUUCUAAAUUACUGUUCAACUAUUACAAAAGUAUAAACUUUGGAGAGGAUGAUAGUCCUGAUUCAAUUCCUCAGGAAAAGGCAAAUAGUGAGCAGACACAUGCGAUGGAAUGUACUGGUGAAUUGCAAGGACCUCUUUCCUGCAGCGAUCUUGGGCGGAGAAAAAGGAAACCAUCAAGAUUGUCAAAUCUGGGCGUACAACUGCUAUCGUAA
rnacentral:rRNA from 1 species